ACCAUCAGACUGGUGGGGGGGGAGGCGGCCAGCGCCAUCUUUGAGGUGUGGCGCUUCGCAGCUCUCCACAGCCAUGACUCGUGGAAGAAGGAUGGGACAUAAAAGCUGAAGGAGAGAAGGCCAACCAGCCAUGUUAAGAAUUCAGAUUCCAUUGAGGAAAGAUGGUUGAGAAGUUUUACCAUCUGGAAAAACUUUUCACUAACAACAGUACAACAGAGGACACGACCUCACAGGAUACUUCCCGUCCUUCACUCUGAAUUUGUACCAAUUUACUUCCAAAUGCUUGACACUGUCACCAUAGUGAGAGGGCAACUCACAGAGAAUAAAUAUUUGCAAGGCACCCAGCACUCAGCCCUAAAUAGGACAUCUUUAUCACACCCCGCUCCUCGAGGCUCUGAGAUCGAUGUGGAAGAGCCAAAGGUGAGGAAUAACUCCAGGGAAGCUGUCUUCUAGACACAAGAAUGAAUGAGCUCACAAGACCUGCACACCUUCAAACCAGACAAAAUUCCAUCACCAUUAGGGAGAUGCAAGCGUAAAGUCCCACCCACAAACAAGGAGCUAUUUCUGACUGACACCUUCUGAGAAAAGGAAAACCAAUUUUCUCCUAUGAAGUGGCACUGGGUAAAUCCUCAAUACUCCAGGGC